UACGUAGGGGGCGAGCGUUGUCCGAAGUUACUGGGCGUAAAGCGCGCGUAGGCGGGGGAUUAAGUGAGAGGUGAAAGGCUGGGGCUCAACCUCAUGCAGUGCCUCUCAUACUGGUCCUCUUGAGGGCGGUAGGGAGAAGUGGAAUGGCUGGUGUAGCGGUGAAAUGUGUAGAGAUCGGGAGGAACACCGGUGGCGAAGGCGGGUCUCUGGGCAAUUCCUGACGCUGAGGCGCGAAAGCGUGGGGAGCAAACGGG
rnacentral:rRNA from 1 species